UACGGAGGGGGCUAGCGUUGUUCGGAAUUACUGGGCGUAAAGCGCGCGUAGGCGGACCUGCAAGUCGGGGGUGAAAGCCCGAGGCUCAACCUCGGAACUGCCUUCGAUACUGCGGGUCUCGAGUCCGGGAGAGGUGAGUGGAAUUCCUAGUGUAGAGGUGAAAUUCGUAGAUAUUAGGAAGAACACCAGUGGCGAAGGCGGCUCAGCUGGCCCGGUACUGACGCUGAGGUGCGAAAGCGUGGGGAGCAAACAGG
rnacentral:rRNA from 1 species